rnacentral:rRNA from 1 species
CCUACGGGCGGCAGCAGUGAGGAAUAUUGGUCAAUGGACGAGAGUCUGAACCAGCCAAGUCGCGUGAAGGAUGACUGCCCUAUGAGUUGUAAACUUCUUUUAUACAAGAAUAAAACCAGGCACGUGUGCCUUUUUGCAUGUACUUUAUGAAUAAGGAUCGGCUAACUCCGUGCCAGCAGCCGCGGUAAUACGGAGGAUCCGAGCGUUAUCCGGAUUUAUUGGGUUUAAAGGGUGAGUAGGUGGGCUGUUAAGUUAGUGGUGAAAGUUUGAGGCUCAACCGUAAAAUUGCAAUUGAUACUGGCAGUCUUGAGUAUAGUUGAGGUAAGCGGAAUGCGUGGUGUAGCGGUGAAAUGCUUAGAUAUCACGAAGAACCCCGAUUGCGAAGGCAGCUUACUAAACUGUGACUGACAUUGAUGCUCGAAAGUGUGGGUAUCAAACAGGAUUAGAUACCCUUGUAGUC